ensembl:lncRNA
AGCCUCUACACAUUCCCAAGUUUUUCCACGCUUUUGCAGCUGCAAAUAACAUACUGAAGAAGGAUCCUGAAAACAGCCAUCUCAAGACUGUCAUUCACAUGAAUGAAGAUACAGUUUGUGUAUAACAUCUAAGCUAAUGAACUCCCAUCAAGCUUUAUGAGCCACAGCUCUCAAGCCAAGUGAGAUGGCGAGACAAUGCCUGUUCAGCUGAUGAGAAAUCUUAUCAGGCAAGAUUAACAUACAAGGCAGAAUUGCAGUGAAAAUUCAUGUGAAGAUGUUUAGAAAAGAGUGAAAAAAACAGCAGGACAUUUCUAUGGCUUGGAAGAUCUACCAUGCUGUACUGCUGAGACCCUUGAAUGUCUAUCAGGAUACUCUUCUGCUGCCAGCCAGCAAGCAUUGAAAAAAACUUGAAAAAGCUACAUUAAUAUUCUCUGGUGAUCUGUAUAUCUAUCACACCCCUCUCUGAUGCUUCUGUGAUGGAGUGUAUCUUCCUCAGUACGGAAUUUAGCACAUAAGUCUCUGAACUUCCCUCCCAUUAACCAGGUUAGCAUAAUCUCAUUUUUUACACCUUGCAACUAGUGCUUUGAACAGCAGAAUUGCUGCGCUAAGAAAAUAAUUCCAACAGAGAAAUAAAUAAGAUGAUGCUGAAAGAAAAAUCCGCAAUUGCUGUCUAUUAGAUGUGUGAGCAUAGUUAAAGACAGUCAGAAUUUGAACAGCCCCUUGCUUUCGCAUAUGUGCAGAUUUAAAAAAAAAAAAAAAAGUAAAUUGACCAGAUCAACAUUGGUUGAACUCUGCCUACCGCUCUACUGAGCCAUAAGUUUGUGUACAAGCCAUUGACAUCCAUGUCUUCCUAGAAGUAUGUAUUCUACAAAUUUCAUGGACAUGAAUAAGGAAGACACCAGAGAAACGAUUAGCUCAUGCUCUUCCUAUUUGUGGGGCAAGGUUUUUGACCCAUCCUCAUCCAGUUGUCCUGAUCAAAAUUUAAAAGAGGGAAUUGGUUUAUUCAUUUAUUACAUUUGUCGUGUGUUUUUCAUUCAUCACUAACAAAAUAUAUCAUAAUUAGGAUGUUACCUAGCAAUAGCAACAAAAAGAAAAAUGAACCACCAGUGCUCUGCAGCAGGUACAGCCCUUUGAGGUGCCCACAUUAGCAUUUCGGAGAACGUGACAAUGUUCUAGUGCCAGACAAACUACAAGAAAAAAAAAGGCACAAGCUAGGAGAAAGAUCUGCCAAUGGAGAAAAUAAACAGAGGGAAGACUGUUUUUUUUCCACAGUGACAAAUGAAGUACCUUGACAGAUACUACUCAUUCAGUUAUUAGCAUCAUAAUUGUUAAUUAUUAUUACUGGAAGACAGAAUGAAAUAUGUUAUUUUGUGAACACAUUAGUCUCUGAUAAACACUCUUGAACAGAAGAGCCAUGAUGAGCAUUUAUUCUACACAACAGCAGCUGCAAGUGAGCAUUGUGAUAAAGAUUAUUAGCAUUUCUAAUAACAAUUUUCCCACACUCAUAACUCUCUUAGUGCCUUUCAAGACAGAAACUUUCCAUGCUGAAUCAAUCAACUUAAUCAAUGACCUAAAAGAGAGCAAUCUCUCUUUAAAACUCUUUUCCAGUUUGUUUGGUGGGCUUGGGACAAAUCAGUGAGAUUUUUUUCCACAGAAUGCCAUAGCGCCAGUUUAAAAGUAUGUGACAGUUACCUCCCAGCCCGACCCCUGGUCGUAAAGAGAUCAUAACCAAUGGCACUUUCUAAAGACAGUAGCUAUCAUCUGUAAGUGAGCUGGUCAAUCUCAAUCCCUCUGUCCCCUCACCAGCAUUGUGAGAGCCCCAAGUGUUGUAAUGGCCAGCAUGCCAGGAUCCAGCCAUGGAAAAGAGAGGUGUAACAGCACUUGAGACAUUGCCUAUAACAUCAAGCAGCUGCAAGUCCCUAUGGGACUCAGAUUGGAACCACUGCUGAAUUGCCAUUCAACACCUCUGCUGUUGUCCACUGAGGGCUAAGUGACUCAUUUUCCUUCACAGGUAUUUCUAGAUUACGAUCACUGUAUGACACGCCAAGUGUUAAGGUUUGACAUCAUUUACAGAUUAUCCAGAUAACUACAACAAAGAAAGUAGUUAUAAGUUACAAUAAUUACAAAAUUGUGUGCCAAGCUAGUUAUAAAAUCCUGUGCUAUGUUAAUUACAAAAUUCUCUAUAGUAUGUUAAUUAUAAAAUACCAUAAGCAUAAAGCCUUGAUCA